GUUGUUAGUACAUACAAGUGUACAACGAGUAAAAUAAAAACUAAAUUAUUUGAUUUGUUUUAUUUUUACUUUUGAAUUAUUAAUAUAUUAUUCAUAUACAUAUUGGACUUAAGUUUCAUCUUAGAGGUUGUAGCAAAAAACCUACACACAGCUAUUACAGGCGUUUAAUUUUUUUUUAUACAUUUUGUGAAAAUAAUAAGAGUCUUUUGAGAGUCUUGUGCAAGACCAAGAUUGAGUAUGAAAGACCAAGACCCAGAUCAAUACUAACGUGUGUACCUUGCAAGACCAAGAUUUUAAAAGUCACUAAGUUCCUAUUAUCACUAAAAAUAUAGCAAAAAAUAAGCAUUUAUUCAUAUAUAUGAAUUAAGCAAUUCGCUUAGUUACCUCCCAUUCAGUGGAUUGAAGGGGUAAUAUGGAAUUGGUUCCUGGGUCAAAGUGUUUUCUCGAUGAAAAUUAUUUAUCAGUUAUGGCUACCAUUAUAUAACUAUACAAGAUACGUAGCUAGCUGUACGUAACUAUUAGCGAGGAUUCAAAGAUCGGAUUUUCCUGGCCAGUCGCCGUGUUCCCCCAAGCGUAGUAUGCCGGAGAUGUCGCCCGUGAGUGCACUGGCCGAUUCACAUGGCAGAUCACACAAUCAACGAGUAUAAAGUAUAUUUGAUUCAUAAUAAAUAAAAAAAUAUUUGUCAAGUAUUUGUAAUAAGUACCUUGGUAUCAAAUUAUAAUUAUUUUUAA